rnacentral:rRNA from 1 species
GACGAACGCUGGCGGCGUGCUUAAUACAUGCAAGUCGAACGCUGAAGGAAGGAGUUUGUUCUUUCUGGAUGUGUUGCGAACGGGUGUGUAACGUGUAGGUAAUCUGCUUGGUUGUGGGGGAUAACUAUUGGAAUCGAUAGCUAAUACUGUAUAAAAUUGAUUUUUGUAUGAUAGUCUAUUAAAAGGUGCAACUGCACCAUUACCAGAUGGAUUUGCGUUGUAUUAGUUAGUUGGUGGGGUAACGGCUCAUUAAGGCGUCGAUACAGAGCCGACUGGAGAGGGUGAUCAGCCACACUGAGAGUGGGACACGGCCCAGAGUCCUACGGAAAGCGGCAGUAGGGAAACGGCGGCAAUGGGCGGAAAACAGACCAAGAAACGCCGCGGGAGUAAAGAAGGAUGUCGGGUCGUAAAGGACUGUUGUAAGAGAAGAACGAGUGUGAGAGUGGAAAGAUCACAGUGUGACGGUAUCUUACCAAAAAGGAACGGCUAACUACGUG